rnacentral:rRNA from 1 species
GAUGAACGCUGGCGGCGUGCCUAACACAUGCAAGUCGAACGGAGUCCAGCCUUUAAUACCUUCGGGUCAAAGAGGGGAAGACUGAGUGGCGGACGGGUGAGUAACACGUGGGUAACCUGGCUCAUAGAGGGGGAUAACAGAGAGAAAUUUCUGCUCAUCCCGCAUAAGGACACACUGCCGCAUGGCCGAGGGUGAAAAGAGAAUCGCUAUGUGAUGGACCCGCGUCUGAUUGGUCAGGUGGCAGGGUAUGAGCCUUCCAAAGCGACGAUCAGGAGCCGAGAGGAGGAGAUGAACGGCCACAUUGGGACUGAGACACGGCCCAAUCUCGUACGGAGGGGAGCAGUGGAGGAUAUUGCACAACGAAGCGAGACCUAGUGCAGCGACGCGGCGUGAGUGAAGAAGUAUUUCGGUAUGUAAAUCUCUAUCAGCAGAGGAGAGAGUGACAGUACCUGAAUAAGAAGCCCCGGCUAACUACGUG